rnacentral:rRNA from 1 species
CCUACGGGCGACAGCAGUGGGGAAUAUUGCACAAUGGGGGAAACCCUGAUGCAGCGACGCCGCGUGAGUGAUGAAGUAAUUCGUUAUGUAAAGCUCUAUCAGCAAGGGAGAAAAUGACGGUACCUGAGUAAGAAGCCCCGGCUAACUACGUGCCAGCAGCCGCGGUAAUACGUAGGGCGCACGCGGUAUACGGGUUUAAUGGGUGUAAAGGGAGCGUAGACGGCAGUGCAAGGCUGGAGGGAAAGGCGGGGGCUCAACCCCCGGACUGCUCUGGAAACUGUACGGCUGGAGUGCAGGAGAGGUAAGUGGAAUUCGUAGUGUAGCGGUGAAAUGCGUAGAUAUUACGAGGAACACCAGUGGCGAAGGCGGCAUACUGGACUGUAACUGACGCUGAGGCUCGAAAGCGUGGGGAGCAAACAGGAUUAGAUACCCCGGUAGUC